UCUUCUGGACUGACUGAAAAUACCUGACUUCUGGAGUCAGUAGUGAGGCACUUCAUUACAAAAAGAAGAAGGGCUUGUGACUUGGUUAUUGGUGUAGAUGGAAGAGCUGUGCUACUGAGGCCAAGAGUCUCAGAAGAAAGGUGUAGGCUUGAAUCAUGUUCACUUGACUGAAGCAGCCCAUUCUAUAAUC